GCAAGCAAUGCAGCACGAGCCUUCCCCACAUUCUCCGGCUUGCCAGCCCAGGCCUUGAGGGUACUCUGCUGAAGAGCACGUCCAAAGGAAAAGGAUAGAGACCAUGGCUUCUUGGUGUUUAGUUUGUUCAUGGCAUUGAGGUUGAGGGUGGCCUCCUCCUCACUCUGGCCACCAGACAAGAAUACAAUAGCAGGAACUGCAGGGGGCACAGUACGUUGAAGUGCACGGACUGUGUACUCGGCAAUAACCUCAUGUGCAACCUUGGGAGCUUCUGAUCCAGGAGUAACCAUGUUCGGCUUCAAGAGAGUACCCUCAAGUAUGGCAUGGUGAUCAUUGAGAGCUUUGUAGCAUGCAGCAAGAACACGCUCUGUUACUGCGGCACACUUCUCAAUAUCGUGAGAACCAUCAACCAAGAUUUCAGGCUCUACAAUGGGGACCAAGCCAUUUUCCUGGCAGAUGACGGCAUAUCUGGCUAAACCAUAGGCAUUCUCAUGGAUGGCCAGCUCAGAUGGCUCAUUGGCACCAAUAUUGAGCACAGCACGCCAUUUGGCGAAACGUGCACCAGCUUCGUAGUACUUUGCGCAGCGCUGGCCAAGGCCAUCAAGACCCUGAGUUGUGGUCUCACCGUUUGUGCCAGCAAGCUCAACGGUACCCUUGUCAACCUUGAUACCAGGGAGAACA
rnacentral:lncRNA from 1 species